rnacentral:rRNA from 1 species
GAGAUACAUAUUACCUUGUGGUUGGUGUACAGGUGGUGCAUGGCUGUCGUCAGCUCGUGUCGUGAGAUGUUGGGUUAAGUCCCGCAACGAGCGCAACCCUUGUCCUGUAUUGCCAGCGGGUUAUGCCGGGGACUUGCAGGAGACUGCCGGGGUCAACUCGGAGGAAGGUGGGGAUGACGUCAAGUCAUCAUGCCCCUUAUGUCCAGGGCUUCACACAUGCUACAAUGGCGCGUACAGAGGGCUGCGAGACCGUGAGGUGGAGCGAAUCCCUUAAAGCGCGUCUCAGUUCGGAUUGGGGUCUGCAACUCGACCCCAUGAAGUCGGAGUCGCUAGUAAUCGCAGAUCAGCAACGCUGCGGUGAAUACGUUCCCGGGUCUUGUACACACCGAGACCC